GCCUGGGUGGCUCAGUUGGUUAAGUGUCCGACUUUGGCUCAGGUCAUGAUCUUGCGGUUUGUGGGUUCGAGCCCCACAUCAGGCU
rnacentral:tRNA from 1 species